AUAGUCAUCCGAACUUGACUUUUUAUAUUUUGCUUCCUGAUCCAAAGAGAAGAAAAUCGGGGCUUUAUGCUUUAUAUAGAACUGAUUCAUCUUGCAAAAACAAACUUUGGUCGCAAAACAUGUCUAAAAUAUUAUGUACAAAAAAGUCAUUGCAAUAAAUCUCAAGUUAUUCAAGUCAGUGAACAAAUAAGUACUGACAAUUCGUUGACUGGAGUGGAAGAUGUUAGUGUCUCGUACCAACAUGAAACAACAAGUUAACUUAGCUGAGAAUGAUGGUAGUUUAAAAGUAAUGCAGCAUUGGCUAGGAUUGUUCCUAGGUCACAAAAACAAUCUUACAAAUAGAGUUUCUGCUGUUGUUACUGAUUUUAGAGAGUACCUUCGUGAAUGAAGAUAAAAAGUCAUUUAUGUUAUUUUUUAAAAGCCAAGACAUAAUAUUGUUAAUCCUCAUACUAUUUACUAAAAAACUUUAUAAAUAUUGUUACGAUGUUAUAAUUCAAGUUGUUGUAAUUAGUAAUUUUGAUCAUUUCAUUAUUAUACUGUAAAAAAUAUUUUUUA
rnacentral:lncRNA from 1 species